AUCUUAAGCGAGAAUAAUGGGUACAAGAGCAUCCCUUGGGAUGGGGGCACUAGCCAUGACCUUAUCUCCAGGGAAGCCAGCGCUUCAUUUUAUAAAUCAUUUACAAGAUAGUAUUGAUGGAUAAAAACUUUCCCAACAAUAAAAUUUCACAUGGCUACACGUGUGUCAUCAGAAGUGGGCUUUGGUAUGUUGUUUUAGAAAGCUUUAAAUAAAAAGAAUUAAAAUAGUUUAAAUUUAUGUUUUGAAGAGUCACAAAAAGAACAGGUACUAGAUGUUAAAUAAUAACUGACCAUAAAAAUGUAUUGCCUUUUGCAUCGAUUCUGGCUCCACGUGGCUCACUCAGGGUAUCACUCAGGGUGCAUUGGUGGGGAAAUGACUCCUUGUGGGAACACACUGGAGCGGUGAAUCAGAGGUCUCAAGCCUUUACCAUGGUUCCUGUUUGUCUUUCUGUUCGUCAAAGUUUGAGUCUGUCAGUCUGUUUGAACUUUAUCUUGCAAGCGUUGGGAGGCUCAGAGAGCCUAUGGUGUCUGGUGCAGUGUGGUCAAGUGUGAUGGACAGACGUACCUUAACCUGGAGGGAGCCUGGAAGCCUCUGCUCCUUCUGGAACUGGCAAGACAAUAUCGGUGGCAGUGAGCCUUGCUAUAACUGGUUGAUCUGGCUCCUGCCUUAUGGGCAGGAGCACCUGGUGUCUGUAACUGGGGCCUUUGAAGGGGCAAACUGUGUGUUGAUUGUCUUUCUCUGUGUUCUUGAACUUGGACGCCCACCUGUGGCAGGGUUGCGCUGUCUGUAUGGUGAUUAUUUUUCUCCGUGUUUGUUGGUAUCUCGUUCUAUGUUCUUGGACUUAGACUGACAGCAGUUUUUUGGACAUUGGAAAGACUGAAAGACAAGUUGUUUAUUCUCUGCUUCUCCGCAUGACCCACUUGUAGGGACUUUUGACUUGUAGGUGAUCAAAAGCAGUAGAGGAGAGAGUCUUUAGGCCAGGAUCCUCAUGGCACCCGUCGGACCAAGGGCCCUAUAGAGUUACCUAGAAGAAUCUAGUAGAGCCCCUCCCCCCUCACAGAUGAAAGCCUUUCUUUCCCAAGACCCACCUCACAGGUUCUGGCCAUUAGGAAGAAAGAAGCACGGGAGGAGAGAUCUGGACCUGAGAAACUUCUGACCCUCCAAGACUCUUCAACAGCAGACCUGUUACUCCAAGACCCUCUUUCUCCAAAUCUCCCUACCCUAGGCCCCAUGGCCCUGCCAGUACCAGUACCAGUUCUGGGAUCCUCAGCCCAUACGAGACAGAGGCCAUCGUACCCCCCUUCACUGGAGGGAGGAAUGGGAGGAGACCUGAGAGCCAACUCCCCUGAUACCACGGUGGCUCCCACUGGGUCCUCUGGAAAAGGGCAAUCAGGCUAUGCAAUAUUGGCCAUUCUCUUUGGCCGACUUGUACAACUGGAAGGUCCAUCCCACCCCUUUUCCAAAGGGCUUGUUAAUCUCUUUGAGACUGUUUUAUUUAUCAUGCAGGAGGCCAGAAGCCAGAGACAUGGGGGCACCAUCGAUUGACCAGGCUGUCAUGGACAGCAGGCUUCCUCUGACUAGGACUUUAAUAUGGCAAAAGGUACCCCAGAGUUUCCACACGAUUACCAAGUUGUAGACUGGGUAUAUGUUAAGAGAAAUCAUGCUGAAAGCUUAGAAGCAAAGUGAAAAGGACCAUUCCUGGUGUUGUUGACUACCCCGAUCUCCAUUGAAGUGGAUGGAGUAACUUCCUGGGUUCAUGUAACUCAUGUCAGAUUAGUAGCUGCACCUGAUGCCAACUGGAUAGCAGCCAGAUACCGGAGCAACCCCCUUCUGCAAGGCCAGAGAAACCACAAGAUGGCUAUGGUGUAUCUUCCAGUGCUGUGCCUCAGAAACUCCCACGACCCUACCAAAGUGACUUGGCAGGAAACCACAUAAAAACUCGCCAACAGGCCACCAGGGGUCGCUGCCUCACAUUCAGGUCUGGGAGACCCCAGUGCAUUGGAACAAUAAAUUCCUCUUGCUUUUUGCAUUGAUUCUGGUUCACUCACGGUAUCCCUGGUAAGCUAAAGCUCAACAGAGUCUUACAGUAAUAAUUGUUUGUUUAUGUAUAAAAACCCUUGAUUGAGAGCUGCAAAAUACACUCAGAUUCAAACUG
rnacentral:lncRNA from 1 species